rnacentral:rRNA from 1 species
UUAAGUAAGGAAGGGCGUACGGCGAAUGCCUUGCCACUCGAAACUGAAGAAGGACGCGCCAAACUGCGAAAAGCUCCGUGAAGCUGUAAGGAAGCGAAGAAGCGGAGGUGUCCGAAUGGGGGAACCCGGCAGCAGACAUGAGCUGUCAUCUGCAGGUGAAUACAUGGCCUGCAAGAGAGGUACCCGGCGAACUGAAACAUCUAAGUAGCCGGAGGAAAAGAAAACAACAGUGAUUCCCUGAGUAGCGGCGAGCGAAAGGGGAGAAGCCCAAACCGGUUGAAGGACCGGGGUUGAAGGACCAUGACAUGGCAAGAACGAGGAUAGGAGAACGGGAUCGAAAGCCCGGCCGAAGAAGGUGAAAGCCCUGUAACCGAAAUCCGAGUAAAGCCUAAUGGGAUCCUGAGUACGGCGAGACACGAGGAAUCUUGUCGGAAGCAGGCGGGACCAUCCGCCAAGGCUAAAUAUAAACGAGUGAGCGAUAGUGAACCAGUACCGUGAGGGAAAGGUGAAAAGAACCGCGGGAGCGGAGUGAAAGAGAACCUGAAACCGUAUGCCUACAAGAAGUCAGAGCCCGUUAAGGGGUGAUGGCGUGCCUUUUGUAGAAUGAACCGGCGAGUUGCGACAGACUGCGAGGUUAAGGAGGAAAGACCGGAGCCGAAGCGAAAGCGAGUCUUAAGAGGGCGAAAGUAGGAUGUUGCAGACCCGAAACCGGGUGAUCUAGCCAUGAGCAGGUUGAAGUUGAGGUGAAACUCAAUGGAGGACCGAACCGACUACCGUUGAAAAGUUAGCGGAUGACUUGUGGCUAGGGGAGAAAUUCCAAUCGAACCCGGAGAUAGCUGGUUCUCCCCGAAAUAGCUUUAGGGCUAGCGUCGGAAAGAACCUUAGUGAAGGUAGAGCACUGAAUGUGUGAUGGCCCCAUCCCGGGGUACUGAAUACAAUCAAACUGCGAAUGUCAUUAAGGAUGUCCGGCAGUCAGACUGUGAGUGAUAAGGUCCAUGGUCAAGAGGGAAACAGCCCAGACCGCCAGUUAAGGUCCCAAAAUACAGGCUAAGUGGAAAAGGAUGUGGGGAUGCCCAGACAACUAGGAGGUUGGCUCAGAAGCAGCCAUCCUUUAAAGAGUGCGUAACAGCUCACUAGUCGAGUGACCCUGCGCCGAAAAUGUACCGGGGCUAAGCCUGAUACCGAAACUGCGGAUUGUAGGAAACUAUAGUGGUAGGGGAGCGUUGUAUACGAGCAGAAGCCGUACCGUGAGGAGCGGUGGAUUGUAUAGAAGUGAGAAUGCCGGUGUGAGUAGCGAGAUGUAGGUGAGAAUCCUACACACCGAAAGCCCAAGGAUUCCAGGGGAAGGUUCGUCCGCCCUGGGUAAGUCGGGACCUAACGCGAGGCCGAAAGGCGUAGUGGAUGGAAAGCAGGCGAAAGAUUCCUGCACCCGUAUAUGGAGCGAAGGAGUGACGGAGACGGAUAGUGUGACCCUCUUAAUGGAUUGAGGGCGAAGCGAAGCGGCUGGUUACCAGGCAAAUCCGGUAAUCGUAAGGCUAGAGCGUGACAGGGAAGCGAAAUCUUAGGAAAGUAGCGAAGCACAUGAUGACGGCUUCCAGGAAAAGCUUCUGGCAAUGCAUAUGCGGCCCGUACCAAAACCGACACAGGUGGGCAGGGAGAGAAUCCCGAGGUGAGCGAGAGAACUGUUGCCAAGGAACUCGGCAAAAUGACUCCGUAAGUUAGCGAGAAGGAGUGCUUAAGCAAUUAAGCCGCAGUGAAGAGGCCCAAGCGACUGUUUAACUAAAACACAGCUCUCUGCGAAGUCGCAAGACGAAGUAUAGGGGGUGACACCUGCCCGGUGCUGGAAGGUUAAGAGGAUCUGUUAAGAGCGAUCUGAAGCAGUGAUCCGAAGCCCCAGUGAACGGCGGCCGUAACUAUAACGGUCCUAAGGUAGCGAAAUUCCUUGUCAGGUA